rnacentral:rRNA from 1 species
UACGUAGGGUGCAAGCGUUGUCCGGAAUUAUUGGGCGUAAAGAGCUCGUAGGCGGUCUGUUGCGUCGGCUGUGAAAACCCGGGGCUCAACUCCGGGCCUGCAGCCGAUACGGGCAGACUAGAGUUCGGCAGGGGAGACUGGAAUUCCUGGUGUAGCGGUGAAAUGCGCAGAUAUCAGGAAGAACACCCGUGGCGAAGGCGGUUCUCUGGGACGGUACUGACGCUGAGACGCGAAAGCGUGGGGAGCGAACAGG